rnacentral:rRNA from 1 species
GCUCAACCGGGGAGGGUCAUUGGAAACUGGGGAACUUGAGUGCAGAAGAGGAGAGCGGAAUUCCACGUGUAGCGGUGAAAUGCGUAGAGAUGUGGAGGAACACCAGUGGCGAAGGCGACUCUCUGGUCUGUAACUGACGCUGAGGCGCGAAAGCGUGGGGAGCGAACAGGAUUAGGUACCCUGGUAGUCCACGCCGUAAACGAUGAGUGCUAAGUGUUAGAGGGUUUCCGCCCUUUAGUGCUGCAGCAAACGCAUUAAGCACUCCGCCUGGGGAGUACGUUCGCAAGACUGAAACUCAAAGGAAUUGACGGGGGCCCGCACAAGCGGUGGAGCAUGUGGUUUAAUUCGAAGCAACGCGAAGAACCUUACCAGGUCUUGACAUCCUCUGACAACCCUAGAGAUAGGGCUUCCCCUUCGGGGGCAGAGUGACAGGUGGUGCAUGGUUGUCGUCAGCUCGUGUCGUGAGAUGUUGGGUUAAGUCCAGCAACGAGCGCAACCCUUGAUCUUAGUUGCCAGCAUUCAGUUGGGCACUCUAAGGUGACUGCCGGUGACAAACCGGAGGAAGGUGGGGAUGACGUCAAAUCAUCAUGCCCCUUAUGACCUGGGCUACACACGUGCUACAAUGGGCAGAACAAAG